AACGAACGCUGGCGGCAUGCCUAACACAUGCAAGUCGAACGAGAUCUUCGGGUCUAGUGGCGCACGGGUGCGUAACGCGUGGGAAUCUGCCCUUUGGUUCGGAAUAACGGUUGGAAACGACUGCUAAUACCGGAUGAUGACGAAAGUCCAAAGAUUUAUCGCCAGAGGAUGAGCCCGCGUAGGGUUAGCUAGUUGGUGUGGUAAAGGCGCACCAAGGCGACGAUCCUUAGCUGGUCUGAGAGGAUGAUCAGCCACACUGGGACUGAGAAACGGCCCAGACUCCUACGGGAGGCAGCAGUGGGGAAUAUUGGACAAUGGGCGAAAGCCUGAUCCAGCAAUGCCGCGUGAGUGAUGAAGGCCUUAGGGUUGUAAAGCUCUUUUACCCGGGAUGAUAAUGACAGUACCGGGAGAAUAAGCUCCGGCUAACUCCGUGCCAGCAGCCGCGGUAA
rnacentral:rRNA from 1 species